UAGGGAAUCUUCGGCAAUGGACGAAAGUCUGACCGAGCAACGCCGCGUGAGUGAAGAAGGUUUUCGGAUCGUAAAACUCUGUUGGUAGAGAAGAACGUUGGUGAGAGUGGAAAGCUCAUCAAGUGACGGUAACUACCCAGAAAGGGACGGCUAACUACGUGCCAGCAGCCGCGGUAAUACGUAGGUCCCGAGCGUUGUCCGGAUUUAUUGGGCGUAAAGCGAGCGCAGGUGGUUUAUUAAGUCUGGUG
rnacentral:rRNA from 1 species